GGCGUAAGGGUAUGUAGGCUGCUUUAAAAAUUGUAUCUAUAAACUAAAUUAAAAAAUUUAUAGAUCCAACCCACGCCCUUUGGGCCUUGGAAUAAUUAAAGCUAGAAUCAAAUAGAGGUCACCCAUUAAACAAAAUAGACAACUCCUAGUGGAAGGUCGAUAUCUGUAGAUAUUAGGAGGAGUACUAAUUAGCGAAAGCUCUUUUCCAUCUAAUGAUUGACGCUGAGAUACGAAGGGGAGGAUAGACAAUAGGAUUAGAUACCCUAGCAUCCCUCCCUGUAAACGAUGAAUGGUAGUUGCUAGAUGUAGACAAAUUUAGUGACGAUGCUAACGCGUUAACCAUUCCGCCUUGUAAGUACGGUCGCAAGGCUGAAAACAAAAAAAUUAGUCGGUUUCGGAGCAAACGGAGUGAAGCAUGUUAUUUAAUUCGAUAAUCCCGC
rnacentral:rRNA from 1 species